GGAACUUCAUCCUUUCCUUUUCAGCUAACAUUUAACCUAUCUUCCCAGUUACUUAAUUUCCCCUAUCCAUAAAACACUUCUUCCUUUCUAAGAUAAAUCAUUUUAAACUGACAUUUUCUUGUGGCGGAUACACUAGAAGUGCCCGCGUGAAACAAACCUCGUCUUCUGUGCUUCACUGAGCACAUUUAAAAACCUAGAGGCUUGAGCGAAACCUGUUCCCAAAGGCUUGGUCCCCGGGAGACGAAGCGAGCAGUCCGGACUGCACGGAGCUCCCGCGGCUGCGUGUGCAGCAGGAAUCUGCACUAAUUCUUAGGAGAGUCAGAAAUCAGGCUGAACUGUGGGACACCUGAGCGAUGCCUGGGAAUUGGGAAGUGUUCGUGUUGUUGGAAAGACAAAGCAGUACUAGGAAGCAGACUAGAACAAGCUGCUCUUGGUUGGGUGAUUUCUACCAGCAAUGUGAACCGGACUGCAACACCAACCCUUCCAGGCGGUCAGCUGCCAUCUCUCCUUCAGACCUGACCCAGACCUCACUACACUGAGAAGCUUCAUUUGCGGCAGAAUACACAAAGCUAGUACCGCAGUUAAAGCUAUUUAAGAGCCUGGUUCAGAUGCCUACCCUACCUGCUAAACCGUGUAUGCACAUGUCCUAUGCUCCUCAGCUCUGAGUUCUGGCUAGUUCCUGACCAUUAUAGCUUGGCUUGUGUACUCCUCUUUGCAACCAGAUGCAGGCUUAAUACUUGGUAUGGCAAGAACUGCCUGGCUCCCCCAGCCCUCACUGAUUUUAGAUUUUGUUGGAGACAAAAACAAGUUUCCAAGAUUCAGGUCAACAUCAAUUUAGAAUUAUGUCUGAUAGUUGGAAAAGAACUUUGGAAAAGAGACUUAACUUUUUUUAACUUGGGAAAACUUUUGAAAGCUAUAGCCUUUCAUGCUUAAACACACCCACACACCCACAACCAGCCUGGCUUUAUAUAGUUCAAUCCUGUCAAGCUAAUCUAAUCUUCUGUGACAGAGCAGCCGACCUGGUAGAUCAAGAGGAUAAUAGUUGGACUUCAUCUCUGCUGGCUUGGAAACUUUUUUCAUUUCUGGGUCCCACUCAAUAGGAGUGUUGGCUGGGGAGAGAAGUGGUAUUCCCUAGUGGGGUUAUCCUCAAGCCUGUUGGCCCUAAGAAUUUACACAAAUGACAGAAAAGAGAUCCAAUUUAGAAGAGUCAGCACUAAUAUCAGGGCAGAGGGAGUGGGGUUUAGAUACAGAUGAUUAACCAGCCAGAGAAAGAACCCUGUAAUUAUAAAAGUGAUCCACUCAACUGACUUGACCAUAAGAGAUUUCAUGUUUGGGAAAAAUAGCACAAAUGCAUGAGUGCAGGUAAAACACACACACACACAUGAAGAAACAGAACAUGUAGGAACCCUGUAGUUCAUAAGUUGCAUGAACAGGAUUCUUUUCAAACUCUACAGCUAACAAAACAGUGAGCGAGAGCUGAGCUGUGG